UGAGUUUCCAAGGGAAGAAUGUUGACAGACUGUACCUGUCACUUUAGAUUUGACUGAUGCCAUUAGAAGGAUAACAUGACAGAUAUAUGUUUUGUACAGCAACCUCCACUUGGACCACCCCACCCUGGAAAGAGUUCAGAGGCAGCUCCAGGACACCAAGCCAAGCUGUUUACAAACCCCAGUUUGGAGACCUGCUACAUCAUCCCAGUUAAUAAAAAGAGGGAAGCUCUCCAACUCUCACUAUCCUCCCAUUCCCUCACCCUCAGUUUCCACACACUCACCUACCCUAUCCAUGCCAUCUCACCAUUUCACCUCCCCCGCCCCCUUCCCAUUGCUCUUUAUAUUCUCCAGAUCACUUUCAUGUUUAUUUACCCAUUGGAUACAACGAUUGUGAAUCUCAUUCUGUUAUUUUGUCUGGAAUUGUUUGCAAAAAAAGUCUGGGCUACUGGCCAAAUAUGGAAAUCAUGGUGGAGGGGGGGGAGGGUGGUGAGGUUCAUUCACAUUGCAGAUGUGUCUUCCUGAUUUUACCUGAUUCUUGUUGUUGUCUGACAAUGAAUCUCUAGGAACUGGUAACUUCGGUUUUGAACUGGGUUGGUAAUCUCUGAGCAAUCCAGCUCUUCAUUCACCACCAGUUCAUGAAGCAGUUGAACCAACAAACUGUUUGACUGAAAUAGUCAGCAGACCUUGGCUCUGAUUUGCCCCAAGUACAGACACACAUUGUAUUUUAGGUAAUGAUGACACCAUUCUGAUGAUUUGAUUGUACAUU